GAUGAACGCUGGCGGCGUGCCUAAUACAUGCAAGUCGAGCGAAUGGAUUAAGAGCUUGCUCUUAUGAAGUUAGCGGCGGACGGGUGAGUAACACGUGGGUAACCUGCCCAUAAGACUGGGAUAACUCCGGGAAACCGGGGCUAAUACCGGAUAACAUUUUGAACCGCAUGGUUCGAAAUUGAAAGGCGGCUUCGGCUGUGACUUAUGGAUGGACCCGCGUCGCAUUAGCUAGUUGGUGAGGUAACGGAUAACGAAGGCAACGAUGCGUAGCCGACCUGAGAGGGUGAUCGGCCACACUGGGACUGAGACACGGCCCAGACUCCUACGGGAGGCAGCAGUAGGGAAUCUUCCGCAAUGGACGAAAGUCUGACGGAGCAACGCCGCGUGAGUGAUGAAGGCUUUCGGGUCGUAAAACUCUGUUGUUAGGGAAGAACAAGUGCUAGUUGAAUAAGCUGGCACCUUGACGGUACCUAACCAGAAAGCCACGGCUAACUACGUGCCAGCCGCCGCGGUAA
rnacentral:rRNA from 1 species